rnacentral:rRNA from 1 species
AGCGAACGCUGGCGGCAGGCCUAACACAUGCAAGUCGAACGAAGUCUUCGGACUUAGUGGCGGACGGGUGAGUAACACGUGGGAACGUGCCUUUAGGUUCGGAAUAACUCAGGGAAACUUGUGCUAAUACCGAAUGUGCCCUUCGGGGGAAAGAUUUAUCGCCGUUAGAGCGGCCCGCGUCUGAUAAGCUAGUUGGUGAGGUAAAGGCUCACCAAGGCGACGAUCAGUAGCUGGUCUGAGAGGAUGAUCAGCCACAUUGUGACUGAGACACGGCCCAAACUCCUGCGGGAGGCAGCAGUGGGGAAUCUUGCGCAAUGGGCGAAAGCCUGACGCAGCCAUGCCGCGUGAAUGAUGAAGGUCUUAGGAUUGUAAAAUUCUUUCACCGGGGACGAUAAUGACGGUACCCGGAGAAGAAGCCCCGGCUAACUUCGUGCCAGCCGCCGCGGUAA